CUCUCACCUGGGUCAGAGCCAGGACGGCGACGGCUCGUUUCUGGUAGGCGCCGAACUCCCCGACCACCUGAAAAGCUUCCUCCACGUCCAUCCCGAUAGACAGCUGCAGCAAAGAUGAUGAAACAAACAAGAGACUCUAAGCCUGGAGAAAGAGGAGCAUCUGUAUUAAAAACUGACCGAACUCCACAAGAUUGCAAAGCGGCCUUGUGUUUGGGGGGGCCAUUUGAAGACAUGCAUGUUUCCAAGAAGACCAUGGACAGACUCUACACAAUAUGCGUGGUGGUGUGACUCAUGCAAAGAGGGCCAUCAAGAAGACUGCUUUGUUAGCACUGAGUAAUCCCAAGGUCAACAAUGGGUGGUGCCCGAUGUCCAUCGAGUUCAUCUUUGUAGAAGCUGUUGGGGACAUGCACAAAAAGGCCUCGGGUGAUAAAACAAGGACAGCAAUGGCUUUAGAAUUAAAACAGGCUCCAGCGCUGAGUGGCAGAAGGGGCUAACAAAAGCCCACAAGAGAGUGAUGUUUAUUUUGUUUUCCGCUUGUGUUUGGCCGAGCAGAUUGUAUUGUUUAUUUGAUAUGUCCUACAUAAACAGUAUGUUCCGUAA